AUUACUGUGAAUCGGUGCUGCUGUGGAGUCGUUAAGAAGCACUGUGAAUUGGGAUUUAGGUAUAUUUUAUUGACACUCGUGAGACGCUCUAGCUUUGGUAGGCCAUGUUACUCAGCUAUAGUUUCGAACCCGGUACUUCGUAAACAUCGUGCGCGCAGUCUGGGCUCUCCGUUCACGCGGGGUUGUUUCUUGCGACCGGUACGUGCCGGACUUGCCUAAGAAGUGCCGAGAGUUCCCCCUUCAUCCCUAGGAUUACUCGAGUGAAGUGAGAUCUGUCCUGGUGUUGUUAACCAGGAGUGUAAGACUCCCGGGAUAUUUCAAUUUGCGGGGAUUUGGCCGGCUAAGUGCAGAACAAACAUGCAAACAAACCAGCGCAACGGCCCUCUGCGAUUCUCGUGCCGACGACGCGCGGGGGAGUGUCUAAUGUAAGAUGGCGGAUGGCGGAAAUACUUGUUCGGCGGAGAAGAGUAGCCAACUUCACUUGACUGAUUCUACAGGAUCACAGCAGCCGCGUAGCCAAUAAUUACUAAAGCAAACAGGAGCUUGAGGCUGUACGGACUUGGAAGCGUCGGAGGGGUGGUGGAAUGGUUGAAGUACGGCCGCGUGGAGCGAGCACCUGGAAGGGACCAGCUGUUAUCCCCGUGGAAGCCGCGAGACGCUCAGCGCAAGAAGAAGACGCAGACGUGGAAACACGUAAGAAAGAAAAGUAACCAUAAGUAAAGCCAGAAAAGGGAGAAAGCAAAAGCUCACCAGAAACAGUCCGGAUAGGGUUCGCAGCUCGUUGGCUUUUGCCCGGCAAUUUGUUUAGUUUCAACUUGACACCCGAAGCACAUGGAACCGAUAAGUAACCGGAGACACCGUGUCCGCCACUCACGCACGUUAAGGGUCAUAGGCCGUGC